GAAAUGCGAUAAGUAAUGUGAAUUGCAGAAUUCAGUGAAUCAUAGAAUCUUUGAACGCACCUUGAGCUCCUUGGUAUUCCUUGGAGCAUGCCUGUUUGAGUAUCAUGAAAUCUUCAAAGUAAAUCUUUUGUUAACUCAAUUGGUUUCUACUUUGGUAUUGGAGGUCUUUGCAGCUUCACACCUGCUCCUCUUUGUUCAUUAGCUGGAUCUCAGUGUUAUGCUUGGUUCCACUCGGCGUGAUAAGUUAUCUAUCGCUGAGGACACUGUAAAAGGUGGCCAAGGUAAAUGCAGAUGAACCGCUUCUAAUAGUCCAUUGACUUGGACAAUACUUUUAUGAUCUGAUCUCAAAUCAGGUAGGACUACCCGCUGAACUUAAGC
rnacentral:misc_RNA from 1 species